rnacentral:rRNA from 1 species
AACGAACGCUGGCGGCAGGCUUAACACAUGCAAGUCGAACGCCUGUAGCAAUACAGGAGUGGCAGACGGGUGAGUAACACGUGGGAACGUGCCCAAAGGUACGGAACAACUCCGGGAAACUGGAGCUAAUACCGUAUGUGCCCGAAAGGGGAAAGAUUUAUCGCCUUUGGAUCGGCCCGCGUCUGAUUAGCUAGUUGGUGGGGUAAUGGCCUACCAAGGCGACGAUCAGUAGCUGGUCUGAGAGGAUGGCCAGCCACACUGGGACUGAGACACGGCCCAGACUCCUACGGGAGGCAGCAGUGGGGAAUAUUGGACAAUGGGCGCAAGCCUGAUCCAGCCAUGCCGCGUGAGUGAUGAAGGCCUUAGGGUUGUAAAGCUCUUUCGCCAGGGACGAUAAUGACGGUACCUGGAUAAGAAGCCCCGGCUAACUUCGUGCCAGCAGCCGCCGUAACAC